rnacentral:lncRNA from 10 species
UGGCGGCCAUGACCUAAUUUCAAGGUUCUGGCAGCUGAAUGCAGGCAACUGACAGCCAAGCUUUUCCUACUUAGCAUAUUAAUCGCCUCCAUUUUUAGCGUGCAGCCAUGAUAAGAGGAAGCCAGUGACGGAUUCACCAGCUUUCUGAAAAUCAGGCUGAUAGAACACCCUAUGCACCUCUGUAAACCUCAGACUUUCCACACAUACAUUUUUUGCGGGCAUCUCUGUUUCCAGUUUCUGGCUCUCGUUCAGACUUCAACAUAUGCUAUAUAUAGUGGUCAUAAGAAAUGAAACAGACUGCUGUUUUCACAAGGCCCAGUCUCAAGAAGAUGUAAGCCAGAUUUGAGCUAGGCACACCAACGUUAUUCUUCCCAGAUUCACCAGAAAAACUCCUCAUCCUUUCCUUAGCUGGAGGGAAUGAAAAUAAGAGAAUCCAAAUAUCAUAUUAACUAAAUUCUCUUCAAAUGAAUGAAAAUAUCAAAAGUGGGUAACAAGCUUUUUCUCAAAUAUUAUCAAAUAGUAUUAUAAUAACUUUUGAUAUUAUCUUUUCUAACCUAUUCAUGU